UAUUAUAACUAAGCUCACUUGGAUUAUUAUGAUUUUUUUUUUGGGAUAUCUGUUUUACAAAUAACCACUGUGAUCUUAAAACUUGAGUACCUUCACUGCUAUAGAAACUUAAAAGAAGUUUUCAGCUACAGCGUUUAAGUUGAACUGGCACACAAUUUUUUUAAAUUUUUUAUAAGUUGAAUUUGAUUUUUAAACUAUUUGAGCGUUUAAUAUUCUUUUUUUAAUCCACAGUAUAAAAUUCAACUUUCACCAAAUUAAUUGAAUUUAAAUACAAUAAAUAUUCACAUAUAUACGUCGAUUCCAAACACUUGUAAAUUUUUAUUUAUUUUUUCACAAUUGAGUAUAAUAUUACAACUUAAAUUAAAAUCUUCCCCUCUUCAUUUACAGGAUUUUCAGAAUAUUCACUUCCACAUUGCCAAGUCAACACGCGCGCCGAAUGGUGAUGUAUAGCUGUAUUUUGUUUUUUUUUUUUUUGUACUUGAAUCGUAAUCACUUCAGCAAGUUGUUAAUUUAUUUGAUAUAAAUUUUACCGUUAAACUAGUCUUUGCACACCCGCUUAGUGAGACAAACGAAAAGAAACUAAAUAAUGCACAGUUAUGCUGAGGACUAGGUGCGUUAAAGAGUCCUUUUGGGACGCACAUAAUUUCCACAUAUCCUUUAGGACACAGAGCGCUUGAGUAGCAACAACGAAGGGAAAGUUUACAGGUGUGAGUGUGGAACGAGAUAAAGGGAUUAUACUCAACAUUGGCUUUAUAAAGAGAAUGGUCCUCAAAUAUUUGCACCUUUUACCAUGGGAACCCAACAAA